UCAAUAAAUAAAUAAAUAAAUGUUAGGCUAAAUUGAUAUCACAGGUGACGUCCUGGGGUUUAAUUCCAAGGAAAAAGAACAUUGGAGCAGAGGAGACCUCACACCCAGAGGCCCACAUCCUCACCUAGUUCUCUGUGGUGCCUCUCAGUCCUCAAAGCUGUGGCUAGGGUGGUCAUUUUGCCUGCAGCUCCUCAUUCCUUCCGUUGAGCUAGCACACCGGCUGACCUUGGGCCCAGCCUUCCCCUCCACCGCUGCUGAGCAUUCAUCCAUUCAACAGACGCUGACUGUGGACCUAUUAUGGGCUGGACACUUGUGAUAGAGCUGCUAACAACAGUCCCUGCCCUUUGAAGUUCAUAUAACCUGGUGGGGAAAACUGCUGAAUUCCAAGUUUGAGGUCAGCACGGGGUGCUUUGGAGAGAGGAGUCCAGUCAUGGGGGUGGGAGGAGCUCAUCAAGGGGGCGGUGCUCGCCCAGCUGGAGGAGGGAGCCUAGGGAUGCGGCCCACAGGAGGAGCUGGAGGACGUCAAGAGCAGCGGGCUGGAGCUGCCCAGGGAGGCCCCUGGGUCACCUUUCUGUCCAUGCGGUGUGCCCAGGCUAAAUACAGUGCAGGGCUCAGCUCUACCCACACAGGAGCCAUGGCCAGCUGUUCCCCAGGUCACCUUGGUUGUGGGCAGGCCAGGCCUUUGUUAGGGGCCAGGGGCCAGCUGCCACAUGGACCUCACCAGAUAGUGGUGAUCACCACGCCAGCCGCGGCCAGGCCCGUAUGAAGAAGCAUGACUGCGUCUGCAGGGUGUUUCCACACUGUCGCUCUGUUGUGUUCACCACGUGAGAACGCAGCGCAGGGUGCCCAGGGGAAGACUGGGGUGCACGCAUAUGCAACUAGAGAAGCGAAGUGCCUCCUCAGCCCUCAGCAUUCCCCACUGAGAUGCAGGGGAGUUUUAGGAUGUACUAUCUGCCUCCCGCCCCCAUGCCCUAGCUGUGUUCUUUUCCUUUCUAUUUUGGCACAGCUUACCUAGAAAAUGCUGCUAAAAAUAUGGGUGACAUCAUCAGAUGUAUUAUUGAUUUUGCUUUUGAAAAACUUGGGCUUCACUAAGUGUCCCCAUUUCUCUUGUAGUUUUCGGGAGAGAAGAAAACUGGUUGCUGUGGCCAGGUGACAACUCCUGCAACCAGGGCUGGAGAGCUGGGAGUGGGGCGUGUGGGUUGUCACCAGUGGUCAGGAGGUCCUGCGGUCAAUGCCAUGGGAACUCUAAGCUUGGCCCUGGGGUGAACCAGCCCAGUGGACUCAUUUCUUUGGCUUCCACUAUUCCCUCCCUGUAGCCUCCGUUUAAAACACCAGUCUCCUUGGGACGUCUAACUCAUGAAGUCCCAUAUCCCUCAGUGAGGUGCUCUGAGAGUUGCCUGGUUAGGGGUAGGGGUGGGUCCUCAGGAGGCCAAGAGUGAGCUGGGAAGGGCCUGCUGGGACAGACGGGCCUCAGGGUGAGCUGUGAAAGCAGGCAGGCCCACGUCCAGGCCUGGUUUGGGAGCCAGGGCCUGAGUUUUCUGCCUGGUGCCCCCCACCUGCAGUUUUUCAGUUCCCAGGCUUCAAAAGGCACGCGGGGCACCUGCAGGGCUGCCUGGGGGACCUUCAUGGUGCUGAGGCCUGUGCCUCCCAAAGCCCACCCUCGGAUAGCUCCACCCUAGCAGCCAAACCCGGCAGCUACGGAGGGCCACAGAGAAAAAGCCUAUUUGCUGUUCCUGGAGCACUUGUAACUUUUUUUUUUUUGGCUUCGGUUUCUUUAUCUGUCAAAUGAGGCACGUUCACACUGGAGCCCAGGUUAUUAUUUCUGAUCACCCACUAUCAUCACACCCCGUUUGUGUCUAAGGGUUUCCAUCCCAGGGUGGUGUGCAGAAAAUAGGGGUGAAGCUGGGUCAUUGGGCCUGUGCUCCCAUCUGAACUCUGUCACUUGGCAUUGUGGGGCUCAGGCCAAGCCACUCUGUGUUUCAAUUUUAUUUUACUCUCUCGUCUAUAAAAUGGGAUAAUAAUACCUACACGACCUAGACCGCACGUGAUUAUUGGAAGGUUCCCACGAGAUCAUAUAUGGGAAAGCGCUUUGUAAAAAGCAGAGUUAUGUCCGAAUAAGGGGUAUCAUUAGGUGGUAGCUGGAAGCUGUAAUUUAGGCCUGCCCCAUCGCCACGGCUGCCUCUGGGCGUUGCAAGCUGCUCUUUUAGGGGGUCUCUUGGGCUUGAGCAUAUGACUCCAUUCUGAGGAGGGCGGUCGGUAGGGCCCCCAUUUCUUCUUGCAUUCCUAGUCGUCUGGUGAUACAACCCAGGCCUCGCAGCAGGGUGGGCGCUGGCGAAAGCGUCCGCUAGGGCAGCUCUCUGAUUCGGAUGCCCCCUGACUGACGUCUCCGCCCCCGAAACCCACGCUCGCAGAAGCUGCGCCGGGCUCGCGCGCUCGCCCCCUCCUCUCUCGGGAAGGGCGUGGCACCGCCGGCGCCCGCUUCCCAGGCGCUGGGGGCGGCCUGGCCGGGCUGCUGCUGCCUGGGGAUGAAGGAGAUGAGGAGGAUGCUCUAACGGCCGCAUUCGGGCCUCAGGGACUCCUGAACGGGGGAAUGCCUGGGGCGGCGGCCCGAGAGACUUGGGGUGACCCGCCCUGCGGGCCGUUCUGGCCCCCGAGCCGGCUCCCUCUCCUGCCCAGGCGGGCGCGGCGCUCGCAGCCCUCCUUAUUCCGCCAGCCAGGGUGUUGGCGAGUUAGACCUCCCAGCCUCACGGGGCUGCUGUGCGGCUGCGGCGACGUCGGCGACUGCGGCGCCGCGGAGGAGACGGAGGGCCCGAGAGGCGGCGCCACGGACUCCUGAUUGCAGCUGCAAGUGCCCAUGACGGAGCUGGCGUCCUCCGGGGGCGGGUCCCCUGCGGGGGACGGGGAGGAGGGCCUGGGGGACGAUCGAGGCCUGGUCAUCCACCACCCUGCGGAGGAGCAGCCCCACCGCUGCCUGCUGUGUGGCCAGACCUUCUCGCAGCAGCCCAGCCUGGUGCGGCACCAGAAGGCGCACGGCGGGGCGGGCCGCGCGGCAGCCUUCGUGUGCCCCGAGUGUGGCAAGGCCUUCAGCGUCAAGCACAACCUCGAGGUGCACCAGCGCACGCACACCGGGGAGCGGCCCUUCCCCUGCCCCGACUGCGGCCGCUGCUUCAGCCUCAAGCAGAACCUGCUCACGCACCAGCGCAUCCACAGCGGCGAGAAGCCGCACCAGUGCGCGCAGUGCGGCCGCUGCUUCCGCGAGCCGCGCUUCCUGCUCAACCACCAGCGCACCCACGCGCGCAUGCCCGCGCCGCACCCGCGCCGCCCCGGCGUCUUCGGGGAGAGGCGGCCCUACUUCUGCCCCCGCUGUGGCAAGAGCUUCGCGCGCGAGGGCUCGCUCAAGACCCACCAGCGCAGCCACGGCCAUGGGCCCGAAGGCCAGGCUGCCCAUUUGGGCCGCGUGCUAUGAUGCGCGCCAGGCCCACCGCCGGCUGCUUCCUGCCUCUCAGAUGCGUCCGGACUCCUGGAGAUGGCCCUGGGCUGCAGCCCCCUGUCCAGAUAGGAUCCUGGGAGCGGGAGAGGGCUGGCUUGGGGUCUUGAAGCUGUGGACCACCAGGCUCAGGCUGCCCCUUUACGUUUCUCCCUCGGGACCCUCCGAGUGGCUGCAUGCAGCUGCUUUGGGCCCGUGCCCUGGUUUUCCUCCUCGGGCUGACCGGCCUAGAGCAGAUGCGGAGUGGGCAGGACCUUAUGACUCAGAAGGUGCAGGGCACAUCUGGGCCCAGAGACCAGGAAUGGGGUUCCACAGGGCUUGACUGGCACCACACCCCGGCAUGAGGACACAUCCCCUAAGCAGACCUGCCUUGGGAGGUGUCCUGCAGUGACCUGUGGAGGUGACAGGAUGGAGCUUGGAACUGGAGGCAGAUUCUGAGCCCUGUGGACAAACUCACCAGACCUGGUGGGAAUCACAGCCAGGGAAGACCUCAUCCUGGCUACCUGGCCAUGGGUCUCAACUCUCUUUGGUGGCAGGGACGACACCCGUGUGGAGAGCUGGCUUCUCUCCUCCCACCUGCCCACCACUUGGCCAAAGUUCAGGGACGGGAAGUGACUGGUCUAAGCUAACACAGCAAGGCAGUGGCAGUCCUGGCACUAAAGGCAAAACUUUGCCCCAGAUGCAAAUGACACCUGCAGGCUUCGUUUUCCUUUCUGAGCAGUGGCUCUUAACACUUUGGGGUCAUGAAACCCUUUGAAAAUCUGAUGGUUAUGGACUUGCCUCCCCACCCCAGGAAAACAGACAUACUCACCUAGAUUCAAAAAUCCCAAGCAAUUUCAAGAGGCCCUGGACUCCCUGGAUGAAACCCGUCCCCUGACUCCAGGAUGAGCACCUCAGCCCUGGGGGCUCCUUGUCUGUCACUCAUGGAGUCCUAAGUCCAGGCUGCUAUAAUAGUAGUGUUCCUCCUCCCCCGGCCAAGCCUGCUUCCCUCCUCCAGGAGCUAGGAAUUUAGUCAGUCCCUCCUUCCAGACCUAGCAGAUGAUGCAUCAGGGUGUGGACCUAAUUUCCCUUCCCUAGACACGAUGGAGUUUCCCUGCGCUGGCUUUGCUCUUCUUGUUUUUGUGUGUCUAACCUGCUGCUGGUUUUCACAAAGGAGCCCUUUGCUCCUGUCCUGGGCUCUGAUUUCUGUAUGAGGUCCCGAGAGGAUCUGGGCUGCCUAGCAUGUGUGCUGGCGGGAGUGAGUUUGAUCUGAGUCUGCCCCAGGGAGGAGAAAUCCUGCUUCCACCAGCCAAGCCCAGACAGUGGUGCCUCCUGUCCUACCAGCUGUUCCCCCCAGCCAGGUAUCACUCGGGAACAUUGGGGAGGAAGAGGAUGAGAGCUUUGCUCCAGGUGCCCGAGGCUCUGGGCAGGGGGUAAGCCCAGUGCAGUGGCUUUCUGUGUGCUCCCCGCCGCUGGCGGCACAAAUGGAGCCCAGGCUCAGGCUGGCAGCAGGACGGGGACUCCUCCUGUCUUUACACCUGCGAAGGUCGGCCCAGGGCCCACGAGUUCUCACCCCCUGCCCGAGAGAGAAAGCUGCCCAUCAGAAGAGGCAAAAGCAACCAGGGCAGGGAGGGUGCGGGUCAGGGCUGUGAAUCCUGCCCUGGGGUGUUGCUUGUCAUAUCUUCAAUGCAGUUUGGCCCAUAGGUCGGUACUGAUCACCUACCCUAUGCCAACCCCGGGUGCCAUGACAGAAUGCUCAGGGACAUCGGAGAAAGAGAAGGCACUGCCGGCCCAGGAGCUUGCACUCUGGGGAACCUUGGCCCACCUAGAGAAGCCUCUACAACACACCCUUUCUCUGCUAACUGUCCAGCUUGUGUCCUUCCUGCCUGUGACUGUGCUGUGCUCAUUCCUACCUCUGUACCUUCCCCUGUAUUGCUCUGAAAUGUCCCCUUCUCUGCAAGCCUUAUCUACCAGGGCCCAGCUUCCCGAACCACUGAGUCCACGGUCCUCCUUCCUUCUCUUAACAGUACCUGUAUUCACACACCAUCUUCCCCGCCCCCUAGAGUAUUGUGUGCUGUCUUAGCUUACACUCCAGUCUCCUCUGUGUGUCUGUCUGGAUCCCCAACUAGACUGUGAGCUCCAUGAGGGCAAGGACUGCAUCAUUUAUUCUCAAACCCCAACAGGGUCUAGCAUAGGGCUGGGCUCAUAACUCUCAGGAAACACUUGUCGACUGACUGAUGGAUCAAGUGCUGGAGGUCGUGGGGUGGCUGGUCCUGGGAGGUGUGCAAGGGGAGAGGGGGUGUGAGUUAACUAGGGGGUGCGUUUAACUGGGCUGUGGGCUGGCUCCCCUGGAUCAAUAAUGGGCGUCGGAGGUCUCAGGUCCUUCCCUGCUUGGGGCAGUGGGAGCUGAGGGAGCCCCCAUGGCUGUGCACAUACAUGCUCGUCCAGGCCGGGUAUUUGUGGAGGUCACUGACACCUGCCGCAGCUGACCGAGUGGGAUAAAUGUUCUCUUGACAUCA